UUUAAGUGUAACCAUGAGUUUCCACGCCCUACUUUAAUCGUUCAUCUUAUUUGAAAACUUUUUAUAAUUAGUAGUUUUGUUGUAUGAGAUGAUAAACAUAAAUAGUACUUUUCUCGUGACUUAUGGUUUGAAAUUUUUUAAAAAAAAUUUCAAAUAAGACGGACGAUCAAAGUUGGACGCGGAAAAUCAUGGUUGCACUUAAA
rfam:Oryza glumipatula chromosome 12, whole genome shotgun sequence.